AGUGAACGCUGGCGGUAGGCCUAACACAUGCAAGUCGAACGGCAGCACAGUAAGAGCUUGCUCUUACGGGUGGCGAGUGGCGGACGGGUGAGGAAUACAUCGGAAUCUACUUUUUCGUGGGGGAUAACGUAGGGAAACUUACGCUAAUACCGCAUACGACAUACGGGUGAAAGCAGGGGAUCUUCGGACCUUGCGCGAUUGAAUGAGCCGAUGUCGGAUUAGCUAGUUGGCGGGGUAAAGGCCCACCAAGGCGACGAUCCGUAGCUGGUCUGAGAGGAUGAUCAGCCACACUGGAACUGAGACACGGUCCCGACUCCUACGGGAGGCAGCAGUGGGGAAUAUUGGACAAUGGGCGCAAGCCUGAUCCAGCCAUACCGCGUGGGUGAAGAAGGCCUUCGGGUUGUAAAGCCCUUUUGUUGGGAAAGAAAAGCAGCAGGUUAAUACCCCGCUGUUCUGACGGUACCCAAAGAAUAAGCACCGGCUAACUUCGUG
rnacentral:rRNA from 1 species